AUUUGUUUCUGUCUGUCUCCAAGAUACAAAAUCAAAAAGGUGUUUUAAUCCUGAGGAAGAGUGUGAGUCUGGGAAAAUUUUGGAUCACUGAGAUGCAACCACACCUUCCACAGCCAUCAAUCACUCUUGCUUACAACUCACAUGCCAAGAAUUACAAGAUGAAGAUGGUGAUCAGGAGGCAUGACUUGGUAAUACUGCUGAGGCUGGGAGUCUUUGGGAAAUUCCAAGUGUGGGCAAUGGUUGUGGCAAUCUGUUUCCCACAGGCAUGAAAGGUUUUUGUUUUGUUUUGUUUUUGUUUUUUUGUUUUUUAACUAAAAGAUUGGAAUUUGCAGAAUUAUGUUAAACCAAUUAACAAGGGGAAUGGGUUUAGGACCACAUGUAAAAUGAUCCUUUCCCCAGUAUAGCUUAAUAGAAACAUGUCAUUUGUAGGUGGAAAAAACCUUCAUAUUCAUAUUCCCAGGAAGUCAAUGGAAAAUGAAAGUUGAUGGAAAUAAAGUUAAUAUCUAUGCGAAGCUUAAAAUUAAAAAGUGAAUAUUAAAAAGAGACAUGAAUAAUAUGCUUCUUUGGGGUUUUUCUAUGGUUGCUGUUGUUUUUCUUUUAGUAACCACUUGGUUAGUGUAAAGCAGAGAGGAGAAUUAGGAGAGGCGGAUGGCAGAGAGGCUUGCCAUGGAAGAUUCGUGGAUGACAGGAGAGGCCGUGUUCCAGAAUGCAAGGAAGAGGAGCCCAAGGACCAUAUCAAGGCCCUGAUUCUGGGAGACGAGAGAACACGCUGACUUAGAAUUCCUGCCUCUACGUCCUGGUCAGAAAGUAGAUGGACAGCCCUUUCAUCUCAGACUGGAUUUUGGUGAGAGAUGGGCAAACCCCAGGCUCUAGGCUGGAGCAGCGGCUCUUGUAUCCACACAAGAUCAGGACUGGUGGAGGGAACCAUCUUCAAACACAAAUUUGCGUCUUUUGGCAAUGCACUCCUUGGGUUUGGAAGCUUCCCUCCGAGAUGCUGAGCCUGACAUUUGGGGAAAGCCAGGGAAACAGAUGCUGGGUCAGUGCUCCUCCCACUUCCUCUACUCCCCUCCUAAGAGCUCCACUGAGUCACCAGCCAGCAAACACCCCAUGCCCGCUGAAAGAGAUGGACUGUGGGCACACGAGCCUCUGCAUGGGCACCGUACCCUUUUGGCCUCACCCAAUCACCUGGCUAACAGGACAUUUCUCAAAUGGUGCCUAUUUGAAAUGAGAGCCCAGAAUCACCGUUAGCCUUAGCUUGCUAUUUAAGGGGUAAGAACAUUUCCACCACAGUUCGCGUUUUCCAUUUAUGCUAAGAUUUGAUCUGAUUGAUUCUAUUGAUCUCUUGUUCUCUCUUCCUUUGUCUCUUUUCCUUCUUGAUAUUUAUGGGUUUAUUUAUAUUUUUCAAAUCAGCUUCUACAUUUAAAUGCCAUGAUGUAAAUUUGUAUAUAAGUUGUGUCAACAUUAAGGAAUUUAGGCCAAACUCUAGAAAAUUAAAUUCACAGAAAG
rnacentral:lncRNA from 10 species